GAGGGUCAUUGGAAACUGGGGAACUUGAGUGCAGAAGAGGAGAGUGGAAUUCCACGUGUAGCGGUGAAAUGCGAUAGAGAUGUGGAGGAACACCAGUGGCGAAGGCGACUCUCUGGUCUGUAACUGACGCUGAGGAGCGAAAGCGUGGGGAGCGAACAGGAUUAGAUACCCUGGUAGUCCACGCCGUAAACGAUGAGUGCUAAGUGUUAGGGGGUUUCCGCCCCUUAGUGCUGCAGCUAACGCAUUAAGCACUCCGCCUGGGGAGUACGGUCGCAAGACUGAAACUCAAAGGAAUUGACGGGGGCCCGCACAAGCGGUGGAGCAUGUGGUUUAAUUCGAAGCAACGCGAAGAACCUUACCAGGUCUUGACAUCCUCUGACAAUCCUAGAGAUAGGACGUCCCCUUCGGGGGCAGAGUGACAGGUGGUGCAUGGUUGUCGUCAGCUCGUGUCGUGAGAUGUUGGGUUAAGUCCCGCAACGAGCGCAACCCUUGAUCUUAGUUGCCAGCAUUCAGUUGGGCACUCUAAGGUGACUGCCGGUGACAAACCGGAGGAAGGUGGGGAUGACGUCAAAUCAUCAUGCCCCUUAUGACCUGGGCUACACACGUGCUACAAUGGACAGAACAAAGGGCAGCGAAACCGCGAGGUUAAGCCAAUCCCACAAAUCUGUUCUCAGUUCGGAUCGCAGUCUGCAACUCGACUGCGUGAAGCUGGAAUCGCUAGUAAUCGCGGAUCAGCAUGCCGCGGGUGAAUACGUUCCCGGGCCUUGUACACACCGCCCGUCACACCACGAGAGUUUGUAACACCCGAAGUCGGUGAGGUAACCUUUUAGGAGCCAGCCGCCGAAGGUGGGACAGAUGAUUGGGGGUGAAGUCGUAACAAGGUAGCCG
rnacentral:rRNA from 1 species